UAAUGAAGCGGUUAGUGGCGGACUGGUGAGUAACACGUAAGCAACCUGCCUAUUAGAGGGGAACAACAGUUAGAAAUGACUGCUAAUACCGCAUAUGCCAUAAGUAUCGCAUGAUACAAGUGGGAAAGGAGCAAUCCGCUAAUAGAUGGGCUUGCGUCUGAUUAGAUAGUUGGUGGGGUAACGGCCUACCAAGUCGACGAUCAGUAGCCGAGUUGAGAGACUCUACGGCCACAUUGGGACUGAGAUACGGCCCAGACUCC
rnacentral:rRNA from 1 species